rnacentral:lncRNA from 1 species
UUGAUGGCUGGAGAAGUAUGAAAGACACCUAAAACAGUCAGUCACUAUAGAAAUCCAGCUGCUGGAGCCCAUCCGUUGUAGAAGUUUCUCUAGAAUCCAAUUCUAUUGUAGAAGUUUGGACGGAGUCCGGUUCUUGUAGGAGUUCGAAAGGAGGUCGUUUACUGUAGAAGCUCGGAUGGAGAUCGGUUGCUGUGGAAGCCC